CGCGGGAUGGAGGAGCAGUACCUCGGCGGGCUCAUAACCCGCAGGCCCGGCUGCAAAUCCCGGUCCCGCAA
rnacentral:tRNA from 1 species